rnacentral:tRNA from 1 species
GGGAGUAGCUCAGGGGUAGAGCAUCGCCUUGCCAAGGCGAGGGCCGAGGGUUCAAAUCCCUUCUCCC